GAGCUUUUCCCAGCGGUGGUUUCGAUAUGUGAUAGAUAUUGAAAAGCUGCUGAGUUAUUGGUCUCAUGGUGGUUACCUUCUGCCUGUGGGCCAGUGGCAGCAUUGCCUAGCCCCACAUUCCAAUAUACACUUUAUCGCUGCCUUCGAUGGCCUCAAAAUUGAUGUCAAGGCCAACACAUGGUACCUUAUAAGCUUCCUCAGAUUCUGAAGUACCUAUACUCAAAAUUCGGGGCCUCUAGGUGUUACUGUUCCGCCAUGAAAGAAUAAUGUAUCGAUGCACAAAUGCCUGAAAUUAUUUAUGAGAUUGUUCCAGCUGCAGAUCCACUUGCAGGUGAGGUAUGCUGGGCUGACUGGUAAAGGACGGGCAAAUGAGAGGCCAGUAGAUGGUGAGCCAGCUGCAGAUUGUCAUGUCGAUGGCACAAGCAUACCAUGGGAGCGGUGUGAAGGAAUCCGCCAACUUAAAAGGUUUUGCAACAUAGUGCGUGACCUGAGCUCGGAAACGCUGGAAGGUGUAACGAUGAAAUGCGAUUCCCUAAACCAGUUAUUUUCCAAGGUGAGUAACCCAGAUUCCAGCGGGAAAACGUCAUCUACUCUACCAAGAUUUUUACGAAAAAUGAGGAAAUGUGUCAGACAAGUGUUAAACGAUUUCAAGUAGAUGCCCACACCGCUGAGGUGCAAGUUAUAAUUGUUGUUCACCACUCGGCGAUAACAAAAGAAGCGUUGAGAAUUGCGACGUCCACGAAGACGAAUGGUAUCCAAGGAAAUGUGCGAGGUCCAUUCAAUCAAACGCUGUUUCUAUCCCAUGAAGGAUCGACAAUUUAUGUACAAAUACGUUUUAGGAAUGAAAGGACACACAGAAGAAAGGAGACCAAUGCCAGCUGUUUGAUUAUAGCAUUAUGCCGCUGCUGAUGCUGCUUAUAGGACGUUGGUUUGUUCGGCUAUUGACAACACUUCAGUUAAACUCUAUUUAUUUAAAUCGGUUACAACUUGUAUCAUUUUCCUGGAUCUAUUUAUAACCAUCAAGUUUAUUAUCUGCAAUGCAUAUAUGUCAUGGUCAAGCCAUGUUGACGAUGUGUCCUGGCCGUGUUCAUGCCCAUGGUUUCUUGUGUGAAUAACUACGGUCUCAAUGAGAUGUCUCUCUCCAGCAUUUUGGAUCACGCUGCUCCUCGGGUCGUAUUCCAAGGGAUGCCAAAGCGGAGCCACGUUCGAAUCGAUGUUUUAACUGGGAUUACUUUUGCAGUACAACUCUAAUAUUGUGUACAAUAAGAAUUGCAUUUCGUUUCAUCCGACGCAAGGUGUCGUGUCCACUUUAAAGUUUGCUAUUUUUAACGACCCCUCGUCUGAAAUAUUACACUGUAUAAAAUUAAUCUUAUUGCUGUUUUCACAACCAUUCUUUUAUUUAUUAUUAUUAUUAUUAUUAUUAUUAUUAUUAUUAUUUAUUUCAAGAUUAAAGCUGCCUCUGAUGUAUGAAAAAAACCUCGCUCCCCCCCCCCCCCCCCCCCCCCCCCCCCCCCCCCCCCCCCCCCCCCCCCCCCCCCCCCCCCCC
rnacentral:lncRNA from 1 species